CGGUUGAUCCUGCCGGAGGUUACUGCUAUCGGAGUUCGAUUAAGCCAUGCGAGUCUAAAGGUUUCUUCGGAAGCNUNGGCGGACUGCUCAGUAACACGUGGAUAANNNACCCUUGGGACUGGAAUAACCCCGGGAAACUGGGGAUAAUACCGGAUAGAUCAGGGAUGCUGGAAUGCACCUUGAUCCAAAGCUCCGGCGCCCAAGGAUGGGUCUGCGGCCUAUCAGGUUGUAGUGGGUGUAACGUACNUACUAGCCGACGACGGGUACGGGUUGUGAGAGCAAGAGCCCGGAGAUGGAUUCUGAGACACGAAUCCAGGCCCUACGGGGUGCAGCAGGCGCGAAACCUUUACAAUGUGCGAAAGCAUGAUAAGGGAACUCCGAGUGCCAGUAUCUAAUACUGGCUGUCCUUGUGCCUAAACCGCACAAGAUAGCAAGGGCCGGGUAAGACCGGUGCCAGCCGCCGCGGUAACACCGGCGGCCCGAGUGGUAGCCGCUAUUAUUGGGUCUAAAGGGUCCGUAGCCGGUUCGAUAAGUCCUCUGGGAAAUCUGGUUGCUUAACAAUCAGACUGCCAAGGGAUACUGUUGAACUUGAGACCGGGAGAGGUAAGAGGUACUUCAGGGGUAGGAGUGGAAUCUUGUAAUCCCUGGGGGACCAUCUGUGGCGAAGGCGUCUUACCAGAACGGGUCUGACGGUGAGGGACGAAAGCUGGGGGCGCAAACCGGAUUAGAUACCCGGGUAGUCCCAGCCGUAAACGAUGCUCGCUAUGUGUCAGGUACGGUGUGACCGUAUCUGGUGCCGUAGGGAAGCCGUGAAGCGAGCCACCUGGGAAGUACGGUCGCAAGACUGAAACUUAAAGGAAUUGGCGGGGGAGCAC
rnacentral:rRNA from 1 species